UAGGGAAUCUUCCGCAAUGGACGAAAGUCUGACGGAGCAACGCCGCGUGAGUGAAGAAGGAUUUCGGUUCGUAAAACUCUGUUGUUAGGGAAGAAAAAAUGUAUAGUAACUAUAUACAAAAGAGACGGUACCUAACCAGAAAGCCACGGCUAACUACGUGCCAGCAGCCGCGGUAUACGUAGGUGGCAAGCGUUGUCCGGAAUUAUUGGGCGUAAAGCGCGCGCAGGUGGUUUAGAAAGUCUGAUGUGAAAGCCCACGGCUCAACCGUGGAGGGUCAUUGGAAACUAAUAAACUUGAGUGCAGGAGAGAAAAGUGGAAUUCCUAGUGUAGCGGUGAAAUGCGUAGAGAUUAGGAGGAACACCGGUGGCGAAAGCGGCUUUUUGGCCUGCAACUGACACUGAGGCGCGAAAGCGUGGGGAGCAAACAGG
rnacentral:rRNA from 1 species